rnacentral:piRNA from 1 species
UAGCCAUGUGCCAAUUGUCAAACUACUUAUG